rnacentral:lncRNA from 1 species
UGGAAGCAGAUCGGCGGCCGCGGGGAGGUUCGGGGCGGCGCAGCCCCGCGCGGUUGUGGGAUCGCUCCCGGGGGCCGCUCCUCUCUCGGGCACUGGGGUCGCGGGAGACGUCGUCGGGAGCUCGGUUUCUGGAGGCCCUUCCCCACCCGGCCUCUGCCUCCUCCACUCCCCCGGGCUGGACGGAACGGGGCCCAGCGCGGGAUGCGAGAGGUAUGAUUUCGCUCUGUCGCCCAGGCUGGAGGGCAGUGGCGCAAUCUCGGCUCACUGCAGCCUCGAACUCCUAGGCUGAAGCGAUUCUCCCGCCUCAGCCUCCAAAGUAGCCGGUACUACAGGCGCGCGCCACCACGCCUGGCUAAGGUGUGUGUGUGUGUGUGUGUGUGUGUGUCUCCAAAGUAGCGAGGACUACGGGUGUGUGUGUGUGUGUGUGUCUCCAAAGUAGCGAGGACUACAGGCUCCCGCCACUACGCCAGGCUAAGGUAGGGUGUGUAUGUGUGUUAACUUUUUGUAGAGAUGGGAUCUCCCUUUGUAACACGGGCGCCCGCCACUAAGCCAGGCUAAGGUGGUGAAUGUGUGUGUGUGUGUGUGUUAACUUUUUGUAGAGAUGGGAUCUCGCUUCGUAACCCGGGCUGGUAUCGAACUCCUGUCUUCAAGGAAUCCUCCCGUCUGGACUCCUCCCAUGGGAUUACGGGCAUGAGCCACGGCACCUGGCUAUUUUUUUUUUCUAAGCAUUUAAAUAAGCUGGGGCUUGAUUUGGGAGUUUUCUAUUGUAUUUUGAGCUUUGCCGAGGACUUGAUAGUGACCUUGCUUUAAGCUGUGAAAUAAAUCUUGGGGUCCCAGAGCUAUUUUAAUAUUGAAUUCGCUGUGGAGUUGUUUUGAGUUCCUUGGAGGUUAACAUGAGAUAGAAAACUAAGUUAACACAACUCAUCGACUGCCCUUGCUUUGCUUUGCUUUGCUUUUAGAAUGCCAUCGGGUUUUGUCAUGUUGGGAACAAGUUAACUUAGGCCAGUUGACUAAGAUCAAGGUAUGUGAACAUGCCUGGCUGGGAGAGAAGUAGAGUAAAUGUUGGUUCGCAUUCCCUCCCGACGCCCACAAUGCCAGCCAUCCCUGACUUUUCUUGCCUUUAUUGGGAAGAAUAUAAGGUGGCAGAAACAAACUUCCCACCCUUUUUCCAAAUAUUUACUGAAGGAGUCUUGAGGAGAGUCUUGUGGGGUGGGGGGGUGGGGGUGGGAGCUGGGAAUGUUUUUGAACUAGUUCUUGAAAAAAAAACUAGUACAAUAGUACAACUGUCUUAAUUUUAUAUAUGAGGAAACUGAGGCCCAGAGAUGAAAUCAUGCCUUGAUUUAUGCAGACCUCAGUACCUGUUCGUGACAAAUCCAGUUACUAAAAGGUAAGAGAAGGAAUAAGGGACUUGAUAUUUAUCUAGCAUCAGCAAUGUGUGGACAUCGUGUGAACGGCUUUAUAAACAUUUCAUUUAAUUCUCUACAUCUAGCCAUUUUUUAACCUGUGCUUUCCCUCCCUCUCAAAGUACUGUUUAUACAUUUAUUAGUCCAUAUUUUAAACGCUCCAUGCUCUCAACUGUAUUAAUGCUAUUUGUUAGGAUAAGUGGCAGAUGUCCAUGGAAAAUAAGUGGCUGCAAAGUGGUAAUGCUGACCAGAUGAGAAAAGAAGUGUAAAAGGGAAGUUCUAAAGAAUUAAAGCCCUGGAGAGGGUGGGUAGACAACAACAGUCCAAAAUAGUGCUCUUCAUUGAGGCUGUGUAGAUUUUCCUGCUUCCUGGGAAAACUGGGGCAUAUUUACACUUGCAUGUGUGUAUUCAGAUUGUCUGGGGCUAUGGAGUUUGGGUCAGAUUGCUGAACCCGUGGGAGAGAAGUUCCCUUGUUGUCUGUUGUUGUCUGUUCUGAUUGCUGCUUUGUAAUUUGGGCCACAUAUGAAAGUCAGCAUCCAGUCAUUGGACCAUAGGUGUGUGGCAUAUCUACUCAGAUGCAUUAAGCUAUUUUUAUUUCAUUAUAAAAUGUAUAACAUUUACAUUCAAAUUAUGGUUUGAAGGGCUUAAGAGGAGAAAGAGACAGUGGCACUAAGGUGACAGCAUGGCUGGCUGCAUGCUUCCUGUCCAAGAAGGUCACUGGGCAGUGUUAACUGGGAAGAGCAUCUGGAGGAUGAGAGAUCAGUGUAGCCACAUACCCUUAACAAAGGGUGGUACAGCCUCUGGUCUGCCAGGAUUUUUGUGCCCCGCCCCCCUCCCCCUCUUUCCCUAUCUCCUCUUUGACAUUUCCACCAUAUUCCCCUUAGGUAUGUACCUGUUUGGACUUUAAUUUAGAGUGUAACUUUUGGUCAAGAAUCCUGGAGAGAAAAGACGGGUACUAAAGCCUCGCUAGUGAUUUACCUGGGUGCCGACCCCCACAACUCAUCCACCCUACAUGCAUACUUCAAACUCCUCCAGGCAGAUACUCCCUGCCUGACACACAGUGACACUUUGGGAAAAAUUGCAGAACAGUAACCAACUCUGAGCAGAUAAAUGUGAUGUCAAAAUGAUAGUAAUGAGAGAUGUCGUUCGUUGAAAGCCUGCUAGCUGCCAUGCACUAUACUAUUUCUUACAUCUAAAUCUGAUUAAGUUAUACCCCAUUUUAUAAAUAGACACUUUGAUAAGUAAACCUAUCUAAGAUCAAAAUACUGAGAAAUGUCCUAAUUGGGGAUUUGAACCUGGUUCUAAUUCCAAAGUCCAAGCUACAUCCACCCCAACCUCCUACCUCCUAUCUCCAAGACUUUGUGAGUAAAAAAACAAGUGUCACUUCUCUCCUUCUCUUUUUUCUGUCCUAAAGGAAGCUGGGAGCUAACCACUUAGGACUAGUACUAAUCUUUCAGAGAAAGGGAUGAGGGGAGCCUUGUUAUUUCUGUGGGGUUCAGCUCUCAGACCAGAGUAAGACAGGCAACAAGGUUGAGGAGUAGCCAUAUGCAGAAAUAACCUGUGUAUCUAGCCACAGGAUCUCCAACACUGUGUCACUCGGGAAUCAAAAUACAGAGACAGUUCCUCAAUAGAGUGUGGAUCUAGCCCAGAAUGUGGACAAGGGGAGUGGAGAAGGGGAGAGGUACACACUGAGCAUUGUAACAAGGCCUGUCCUCAAGCUUGAGGAGGAUUAGGAAGAUGGCUUGAGUCUGGGAGUAGGAGGCUGCAGUGAGCUAUGAUUGUACCACUGUACCCCAGCCUAGGUGACAGAGUGAGACCCUGUCUCUUAAAAGAAAAAAAAAAUUGACCUGGAUCUACUCAUACCCACCCUGGUCUUUGAGCAGAAAGAAUCAUUUGGGAAUUAUUUUGUCUCAUCUUUCUCCAUGAUCACUGUUGAAGAAUUUGGUCACUGUAACCAGAAAUAACCAUGGAUAUGGGUAGAGACAGAGCCAUAUGGAAUGCACACUGCAGUGGUGAACACAUGGCCCAGCUCUGCCAUCAAGGAGAAGGUGAGAACAUGGGGGAAGAUUUUAUCGAAGUUUCUUUUCUGGGGCAUAUGCUCAGGUUAAACACCUGCUCUGUAUCUCUAGCUUCUGACUCCUACCCCUGGCCAGCUCUGUUACUCUAGUACACUGCUAGGCAGGCAGAGUAUGGCCAAAGUAUUCACAACAGUGCAUCACUAAAUCAACUGGGAUCCACACAAUGGAAUAUCCUAAUGCAUCAUUAAAAAUCACAUUGUAAAAGAAGAUUUUAUAACAGAAAAAAAUGCACUGUAUAUGAUACAUUUUUAAAAUGUUACUUAUGCCAGUCACAAUAAAAGACAAUUACACUUAUAUGGGAUAGAGUAGUCAAUAUUAUAGAGACAGAAGGUAGAAAUGGGUCUGGGUGGAAAUUAGAAUGAGAUGUUCUUAGCAUUCCAGUUUUACAAGAUGAAAAGAGUAACGGAGACAGAUGGCAGUGGUGGUUGCAUGACAUUAUGAAUGUACAUAAUUAAAAAUGGGUAAGAUGGCACAGUGAGAUACCAUCUCACACCAGUCAAAAUGGCUAUUACUAAAAAGUCAAAAAAAUAACAGAUGCUGGGGAGCUUGUAGAGAAAAGGGAAUGCUUAUACACUGCUAGUGGCAGUGUAAGUUAGUCCAGCCACUGUGGCAAUUCCUCAAAGAACUUAGAACUAUCAUUUGACCCAGCAAUCCCAUUACUGGGUAUAUACCCAAAGGAAUAUAAAUUGUUCUGCCUUAAAGACACAUGCAUGUGAUUGUUCAUUGCAGCACUCUUUAUAAUAACAAAGACAUGGAAUCAACCUAAAUGCUCAUCAACAGUAGACUGGAUAAAGAAAAUGUGGUUCAUAUACACCAUGGAAUACUAUGCAGCCAUAAAAAAGAAUGAGAUUAUUUCCUUUGCAGGAACAUGAAUGGAGCUGGAGGCCAUCAUCCUUAGUGAACUAACACAGGAGCAGAAAACCAAAUACCACAUGUUCUCAUGUGUAAGUGGGAGCUAAAUGAUGAGAACACAUGGACACAAAGAGGGGAACAACAGACACUGAAGCCUCCUUGAGGGAGGAGGGUAAGAGGAAGGAGAAGAUCAGAAAAGAUAACUACCAGGUACUAUGGUAGCUUAGUACCUGGGUGAUGAAAUAAUCUGUACACCCAACCCUCAUGACAGAAGUUUACCUGUGUAACAAACCUGCACAUGUAUCCCUGAAACUAAAAGUUUUUUAAAAAGUUAUUUAAUAUAUAUAUAUUUUUUUGAGACGGAGUUUUGCUCUUGUUGCCCAGGCUGGAGUGCGGUGGCGCAAUUUCGGCUCACCACAACCUCCGCCUCCCAGGUUCAAGCUAUUCCCCUGCCUCAGCCUCCCUAGUAGCUGGGAUUACAGGCUUGUGCCACCACGCCGGCUAAUUUUGUAUUUUUUGUAGAGACGGGGUUUCUCCAUGUUGGUCAGGCUGGUCUCGAACUCCCGACCUCAGGUGAUCCACCCCCCUCGGCCUCCCAAAGUGCUAGGAUUACAGGCAUGAGCCACUGCGCCCGGCAAAAAGUUAUUUAAUAUUAAUGGGACAAUACUCAUUGCAAGAAUCAGACUUCAAUUGCUAGCAUAAGUAAAUGACAGGCAGGAGAUAUUGAAAAUGCAAUCUUAUAGACAUUCAAGGAGAGGACGCAGGACAUUUCUGUGUCAUAAAUGUACUAUGGAAAAUAAAAAUGAGAAAAAUGGAAAUAAAAUACAAGAAAAGGUUAUGAUAAAUUUCAUAUUAUUUUACCACAAUAAAAAAAUUUUAAUAAAUUAUAAAUGGUGUGAUAUGUUUUGCCUGUGUUCCACCCAAAUCUCAUCUUGAAUUAGAGCUCCCACAAUUCCCACGUGUUGUGGCUGGGACCCUGUGGGAGAUAAUUGAAUCAUGGGGGCAGUUUACCCCAUACUGUUCUCUUGGUGGUGAAUAAGUCUCAUGAGAGUUGAUGGUUUGAUAAGGGGUUUCCCCUUUUGCUUGGCUCUCAUUCUCUCUUGACUGCCACCAUGUAAGAUGUGCCUUUUGCCUUCCACCAUGAUUGUGAAGCCUCCCAGCCACAUGGAACUGUGAGUC